AAAAAGGCAAACCUUAGGUUUCCGUGUCUAACUUUGACUGUCCGUCUUAUAUAAAAUUUUUUUAUAAUUCGUAUUUUUAUUGUUGUUAGAUGAUAAAACAUAAUUAAUAUUUUAUGCGUGACUUGUCUUUUUAAUUUUUUUCAUAAUUUUUUUAAAUAAGACGAAUGGUUAUGUUGGACACGAAAAUCAGGGUUUGUCUUUUU
rfam:Oryza sativa Japonica Group DNA, chromosome 9, cultivar: Nipponbare, complete sequence.